GGUGGAGCAUGACUGAACAAUCUUCAUCAAGUUCCGCCACUGAGUGGUGGAGCAUGACUGAACAAUCUUCAUCAAGUUCCGCCACUGAGUUGUGGUGCAUGACUGAACAUUAAUUGCCUGAAGUGAGAACAAUGAAACUUGAGGCUCUUUGUUGUGGAGGAGAUCGUCAACGACGUUGUCGCGAUCCAUUGCAUGCAUCCACCACACAGGCUCAAGAAAGCCGCCAUGUUAUUUGCAGAAGCAGAUCGAUGUGUUGUGCCCGGGAUUGACUUCCGCGAACUUAGACCUGAAGACUAAAAGAUUGAUGUGGUAAGAUGACAUUCAAUUUGUUUAGUGAUGUACUUGUUUGUUCUCUUUAUUUGUGUCUUCCUCUUGUAGAUGUGAUCGUUGUUGUGAUGAAGAUAUUUUCUUUUUGAAAAGAUAGGAGUGUCUGUGAUUUUUUGUUGAUGUCUUUCGGUUUCGAGUAUGGUUCUUGUAGCCUAGGAGUGAUAAUACUCGCAGGGAAUGGGAAACAGACAUGUAGUGUACAUGUUUUAAAUUAUGAAAUAGUUUCAUUAAAACUAAUCUAUGACAGUGUUUGGUUCAGGUUGCUUCAAAAACUUCUAGAGUAUGAAACAUUAUUGGGGUUCUGCAUUUCUUGAGGACAUUUAAAUGUUUCUUGAAGGAAAUGGACUACAAAGGAAUAUUUUAACUUGUUUCUUUUCUUCUGGCAGAUUCUAACUUGCUUUAACAUAAGAUUCAUGCCCAUUAUUAAAGGGACAUUCUUAUAAUGCGAUGUGAAACUAUGUGUUUUCUUGUAAAGUUAUCAUGUGGCCUUUUUAGAGUUUGGAUGAAGGGGAAUAAAAUUCAUAUCAAUUUGCAGGUUUUAA